UCGAGAAUCUUUCGCAAUGGGCGCAAGCCUGACGAAGCGACGCCGUGUGUGUGAUGAAGGCCCUCGGGUUGUAAAGCACUUUCGCCUAAGAACAAGAGAGCGCUGCUAAUACCGGCGUAAUUUGAGAGUACUAGGUAAAGAAGCACCGGCUAACUACGUGCCAGCAGCUGCGGUAAUACGUAGGGUGCAAGCAUUAAUCGGAUUUAUUGGGCGUAAAGGGCGCGUAGGCGGGGAAGUCAGUCAGAUGUGAAAUCCCGGAGCUCAACUCCGGAACAGCAUUUGAAACUUCUUCUCUAGAGGGUAGGCGGAGAAAACGGAAUUCCACAAGUAGCGGUGAAAUGCGUAGAUAUGUGGAAGAACACCAGUGGCGAAGGCGGUUUUCUAGCUUACACCUGACGCU
rnacentral:rRNA from 1 species